rnacentral:lncRNA from 1 species
UGUUAGGGUUAUUGAUUAUAUUGCUUGUAGGCUUCCGGUACAGUACAGAAAACACGAAACUAUUUUUGUUCCAGAGAGAAGUUUAUCUCUCUUCUCUCCAUCUCCAUGUUUUCAAUUUUAGAAGAAGGUUUGAGAAAUUUUCAGAGGUUAUAUAAGGUGAGGGUCUUAUUUUGGAGUUGGAUUUUUUUUGGGAGAGGUCUGGGAGUCUGAGAUUUGGAGAGAAAGUUGAAGAAGAAAAUAGGGGUCUAAAAUAUUCUUCCUUCUUUUUUCAUUGUUCUUCUGUGUAUUUCCAGAAUAGAAAAAUACGAAAAUUUUGAAAAAAGAUUGUUUAGUUCAGGGUUCAUUUCUAUUUUUUUUCUCAUUAAUGUGGAAAUUUCACCUUUAUAUGAGUUCGGUUUGAGUUCAAGAGUCAAGGCUUGUUCGGAGGUCACGAUUUUCGGUUCCGAGAGUAAUUCGUUGUGUUGCACGUAUCAAUUGCAGGUUUAUUUCUCUCCUUCGUUAUUGUUUCUGGUUUGCAAAAUGUGAUGAAAGUUUAGAAACGAAUGCUGAAUUCAAGGUUUAACAUGAGCAUUUGUUUGUGUGUCUCGAAUGAUGUGGAUUCUGGAUCUGAACGAGUUCUAUUACAUCUUCAUGCUUAAAGCAUUUUUCUGAGUUUAGAUUUUACAUGUUUUGAAUAUGUUCAGUUGAAUUCCAACCUGAUUUUUGAUUCCAUAAAUCUCUUAGAGUACAUUCAGUGUCACUCUUAAGCUCAAACUUGCCCCGAGACAUGCCUACCGCAGGUUUGAGACCAUUGUACGAAUGCUCAGUGAUUGCUCGUUCUGUUUUUCUCAUUGAACAUCUCUGUUUGCUGGGUUAAUUUAGAGUUUAAAAAACAAAAUGAGUGAGUCUUUGCUGCUGAAAUUCGAGUCCUAAAUGAGUGCUAAAAUCAUCUCUGAAAUGCGGAGAAUUUAAAAUCAUCUCGUGGUCGAAUUUGAAGUGCUGGAAAUCCUUCUCUUGCUUCUUCUUUUCUAGUUUUGGUUUUCUGCUAAGAAAUGCUAUUAAGUUCGCUAAAACCAGUGAAUUCGUGGCAGCUUCGCGCUAAGUCUGAUCUUUUCUUAAUGAUUCGAGUCUGAAACUAUCCUAAUCCACUUUGUUGAUAAAGAUUCAUGUGCCUCCCUGAUAUGGUUUAAGUUGCUUGCUAGAAUUGUGUGAAUUGAGUGGUGUCAUUAGACUCUACUGCUGGAAUACUUAAGCAUAAACUAGUCUGCUGAUCUACCAAUUCUAUCAACAUGCUAGCUGCAACAAGUUAUGUUCCUCUACUCUUAAUUCAAUGUUUAAAUCCUUCUGAUUUCUGUUGUCAGUGCUCUAAUGUUUGCGAGUCCAUUCUGAGAAUGAAUGGUUGAAUCCUCGAAGUUGCCUCUACUGACCUUCCCUGGGUUUUUCAUUUUUGUUUGUUUUUUUUAACGAAAAGUUUGUUAGGAUCAUUUUGAUAAUGUCUCCUUUUUUUUUUAUUUGCAUUGGGUGUCCAAGUCUCUUCGAGCCUCGACUAAUCUCGGGGUGCACAGGCCCUCGGCAAGGAGUUUCCCGCAAGUGCACCACGGUUAAUUUAGGUUUUACUGGAGCUUUUUUUUUAUUUGCACCGGGUGUCCGAGCCCCAACUAAUCCCGGGGGUGCACAGGCCCUCGGCAAGGAGUUUCCCGCAAGUGCACCACGGUUAAUUCAGAUUUUAUCCAGUCUGAUGGCCCUCAAAAAUUGUUUGCACCUAGUGGGUUUCGAACUUGAGACCUUGAAAGGGAGCAAACCCCAAGGCUCAAGUCAAUUGCCACCAGGCCAACACCUGAGUGUUUUUUGAUAAU